rnacentral:lncRNA from 1 species
CAAAUAGUUCAAAAUAAUAUAUGACAAAAAUUCAUGUGGAAUUUCAUCAUGCAAUAAGUACAGGUCAGUUGACUUCCAUGCAAAAUAGAAAUAGAAGCAUUUGAUCAACCAAUAAGUAAGCAUCAAGGAAUAUAGAAACCAUGUAAACAUGCAUUUUCCUGAUAAUUUUCUCAAACACUAGCAAACAGCCAUACUACCCAAUCUAUAUUCAUAUCCCAACACAUCUAAGAUGAUUAUUAUCCAUGUUAAUUCAUCAGCCCAUUAAUACUUGUGGCUCUAAUGUGUAAUGAAGAGUAAGUGUUGCUAUCAUGAGGGGAAGAAAGAGAAAUGGUUGAAGGGGCAUAGGUGGCUUGAAAAACGUGAGUGGUUUCAUCAUAUACAGCCAUGCUCUCCUUCCAUUUUGUAUAGUGGUUUGGUCUUUAAAUGCGAUACGAUCACUUUGGAAGAAGCUUUACUGCUUACUCCCCUCUACCAUGCCUAAUUCAGUGUGCAACACCUGACUAAGAAAUACUAUGGAUAAUAAACAGUUUUAAGGUGAGUGCCUUUUAGAAGGGAAGAAGACCAUAGAAAAGUGGUGAGGGAGGAAAAGAGGGGAAAAGGGGAUGAAAGAUGGGGGAGCUUGCAACCACAGCAAGUUCAUCAAUGUACUUGUCUUUGAAUUUCUUUUGAGGAACAUUCAAUUUGACAAGUAUGCUUGAAUAAGGCAUAUCAAAAUCGUUUGCUGGAAAAUUUAAAUGUCUUACUCUUUUAGAUUCAUGAUAGUAGUCUAAAUUGCAAGGAUGUAGUUUCUUGUUUGUUUGAUGUUUGCCUACCUUUUAAAGUUUUGUUUUUUAUAUGCAUGGAUUUGCUUAAUAAUUUGGAAUGAUUAAAAGACCCACUUUAACAUGAUAUCAACCCUCCAAAUAAUAUCUUGAAAAUAUGAUCAUCCUUGUGGACCUGUGUGUCUGAUUUACUAUGAGUAUACUGUUUUUGGUUUUUUUUGUUUCUUUAACUUUAAUUUGCCAUUAUUCUUCAUUCAUAAGCUUUUUCUUUAAUAGUCGUGCUUAAUGAAUUGCCUACUAAAUGGAACCAUGCAACUUUUGAUGAUUGUUUAUUAUUGUUGUCUUAAAUCUGUUAUUAUUCCUCAUGAUUAAGUUCUUCGCUCCUUCUUGUAGUCAUUUGGCAUAUGAAGCUAUGCAUUUUGAGUCCUUUUCAUCUUCUUCUUGCAAUUGUGAGAUUUCUGAAUUCAAAAUCAGUUGGUGAAAUUACCAGCGAGGAAGCUUGCUUAGCAAGUUGUACAAAGGCAAUAAAAGUACUGGAACCUUGAAGGGAAAGAUAAAAAAAAACUACAGGAAAAGUUUUGCUCAAAACAGACAGGAUAACAAGUGAAAUGAAAUGUAGGUCAAACAGCACUAAAACCUAAUAAAGUUAGAAUCAGCACAUUGAGCCCUGUGAUUCUCUCAUGGCACCAAUUCUUAUCAGUCUCCAAUCUGGAACUAUAUAUGUACAAUAGAAUUUUGGCGUGGGCCGACUUGUGAGGAGUGAGGAUUGUUGUGAUCAAUUAUCUUUAUUUUGUUUAUGAAUAGAGUUUUUCUAGUUUUAAUAUAACUUGAUAAGUAUACUUCUAAUAUUGAAGUUGUGCAUUCUCUUGUUUCUCUUCCCUAAAAGAAUAAAUAUUUUGCCAGUACGGUGUCUUUCUAUUUAAAGAUGGCAAUUAUCUAAACCCAUGGGAAGACUGGAUCAUUUUCUACUCUCUCCCUUUUGUUAAUUUGGGCUUCAAUAGAAUGUGGAAAAGUGAAAAACAAGGGAGAGCAUACUUGUUUUCUUCUUUCCUUUUCUGAUCUGGAAAGCAAGGAUGAAGGAUACCAUUCACUUGGUGUUUGAAAAUGUGGCUGGUAUGCAAAUGGUCAAGGGACCCCAAAGAACGAAUGGGGUAUGCUGCUGCAUAUGUGGCUGCACAUAUGUUUCAGACUUUCAGUAAUAAUAAUGAUAGUAAUCUUUUGUAGCAAAAUUUGCAAUAAUAAGAACUAACAAGUAGUGCUUCCUAGUGAAUACAUAAUAGUGAUAUUUAUGACAAAAUUAAAUAUUAGCUUUUCAGUAUCCACAUCCAGCCUGCCCAAAACCCACAUUCCACUCACCCAUUAGCUUAAAUCUUCAUAUACACGGACCCAUAUGAGAGUGGGCGACAAUUGGCCCCACAAGGCUAAGCCUAAGCUGGUUGCUUAUAUGUCCUCAUGAUGUUGAAUAGGCUGCCUUUUCAAUCCAUAUGUGGUAUGACUGCAUAAAGUAACGGCACAGGCAACAUGAUUGAACCUGCAUAUGUAAUCGCAUUUUAAAACACCGAUAUACCUUCUCUUGCAAGUAUUAAGUGGGAUUCUCAUAAGAUAAAUAUGAGAUGGAGAUGCUUGCAGAACUCAGAGUUUAUAUUGGAAUGUUGGAUGCUGCCUAGUGCUAUCCGUGGCUAGACUCAGAACCCUUUGUGGGUUAUAUUCUCCUUCUAAAUUUACAAUCAGUUUGUUGGAAAUUUCUAGGCUCCCAGUCAAAUUACAUCUGGAUAAUUCCUUAAUGAUUUUGAUUCUCUUAUUUGAUGGAGAUCUAAAAAUUAGUUAAUCAUAUAUUUAUUGUAUUUCUGAAACUUUUUUUAGGUAAUUUUUGAAGUAUGUUUUAGAGUCCUGUUUGAACUAGAAUUGAUGUGAAGGUUUCCUACUUUUUGGUAUAGGUUGAGAUGGAUAAGUCAUAAUGUUGUUAAAUUUGAGUUUUGGCCAUUUUAUUUUCCAUUCUUAUGAAAGAUGUUGGGCAUCCAUAUAGAGAUUGAUUACUGGUUUUUCAAGAGUCAUUGCAUGCUUGUGGACGAAGUCAUGAAGAGUUUAUAGAAGGCCUAUUUUGGCU